CAGGAUGAACGCUGGCGGUCUGCUUAACACAUGCAAGUCGAACGCAAGUAGCAAUACUUGAGUGGCGGACGGGUGAGUAACGCGUGAGAAUCUGCCUAGAGGUUGGGGACAACCACUGGAAACGGUGGCUAAUACCCAAUGUGCCUAUUCGUGAAAGAUUUAUCGCCUCUAGAUGAGCUCGCGUCUGAUUAGCUAGUUGGUAGGGUAAAAGCCUACCAAGGCAUCGAUCAGUAGCUGGUCUGAGAGGAUGACCAGCCACACUGGGACUGAGACACGGCCCAGACUCCUACGGGAGGCAGCAGUGGGGAAUUUUCCGCAAUGGGCGAAAGCCUGACGGAGCAAGACCGCGUGAGGGAGGAAGGCUCUUGGGUCGUAAACCUCUUUUGUCAGGGAAGAACACAAUGACGGUACCUGACGAAUCAGCCUCGGCUAACUCCGUGCCAGCAGCCGCGGUAAUACGGAGGAGGCAAGCGUUAUCCGGAAUUAUUGGGCGUAAAGCGUCCGUAGAUGGUCGCUUCAAGUCUGCUGUCAAAGACCGGGGCUUAACCCCAGAAAGGCAGUGGAAACUGAACAGCUAGAGAGAGGUAGGGGUAGAGGG
rnacentral:rRNA from 1 species